UGCCAGGUGAAGUGAAUAACACUGAUGAGCUCGUUACAGCCACCUGUCAGUGGGUGGGGUAUAUAAGGCAGCAAGCUAACAGUGUUCAAGGAAGGACAGAUGGUGAACUGACGACAGGGCUAUGGACGCCCACGGCUCACUGGUUUUACUGACGGUGGAAGCAAUGCCAGGAUUUGACAGAAAAAACUAUCAGUGACGGUGGCCAGAGGAUCCUGUCUGUUGGCUACACAAACAAGAUGCUCCAGAUGAUCACCAGCAAUGGGGAAAUGCAUCCUUUACAUUUUCCCUCUUCAAGAACAAAUUGACACUACAAUCCUUCUCUAUUAGGCUGUGGAUGGGUGCACUGUAUACAACAACUCCGGAACUUGGAGGCAUGCAGCCCAGUGAAGACGAUGACAAAACGUUGUGGGCUCACACUACAAACCUCCAGACAAUUCAGAUGAAUGAAGCAAACCUAUCCCCCCUUAGGCAAUCCUUAACCAGAUGUCCAUUCUGUGGCCAGACCAUCAGCGGCAUUGAGGACAAACAGGCAAGUUUGUUUAUAAAUGGACCAUUUAUUAUUGAAAUCAAAGCUUUACAAAACUUUUUUGCAGCCACUCCAGCAGUUUUGGCUAAGAUGGGAAAUCCUACUGGUGGACUCCAGGUUAUGAAGUCUCUAUUCAUUUAACUACGAGAACUCAAGUUGCAUGACUGGAGAAGUCUUCACAACUGUGAUCCAAGUGCAUGCAGAAAAUGGGAGGUGCUCUACCUUAAUGAC